rnacentral:sRNA from 1 species
UAAACCUAAAACAACGAAAGCCCUACCUCUCUUUCGUCCUAAACGGCUCCUUGGCCGCGCCAAUACGAAUCAGGAAAUUUUUAAACAA